CAGCUACUCAGGAGGCUGAGGCAGGAGAAUCGCUUGAACCCGGGAGGCGGAGGUUGCGGUGAGCCGAGAUUGUGCCACUGCACUCCAGCCUAGGUAACAGAGCAGGACUCCAUCUCAGUCAAUCAAUCAAUCAAUCAAUCUCAGCGGUUGAACUACCCUUGACAUGGUUCAGCUCUGUAUCCACACCCAAAUCUCAUGUCAAAUUGUAAUUCCCAGUGUUGUGGGAGGGACCUGGUGGGAGGUGAUUGGCUCAUGGGGGCCGACUUCCCCCUUGCUGUUCUCGUGAUAUUGAGUGAGCGCUUGUGGGAUCUGGUUGUUUAAAAGCUUGCAGCCCUCCCACUUCACUCUCUCUGUCUCUCCUGCUCCAACAUGGCCAGACGUGCCUGCUUCCCCUUCGCCUUCUGCCGUGAUUGUCAGUUUCCUGAGGCCUCCCCAGCCACGCUUUCUGUACAGCCUGCAGAACUGCCCCACUCACCUCCUCCAACUCCUCUGGGGAAACCCAAGCCCUGCAGCUCAUGGAACAGAAGAAGUGGAACCGACGUUUCUGGAACAGGACUAUCUGAGAGCGGUUCUUCCUGGCCCUCGGGUUCAUGCAACGGCGUAACUGGAACCGACGCUUACGGACCAAGGGAAGUGGAAGAUGUUUUGUUUGGAGUCCUCGUCGUCCUCCUCCAUGUCAUUGGCCAGGUAGCUGAGGACAGGAAUCAGGUUGCUGCUCAGGGGCACCACCAGGAGAGACCUCCGGCUGAGGUCAGCUUCCCAGAGAGGAAGCUGCCCCAGAGCACAUCAGCUAUGUGCCCCAGCUCUCAAACGACACCCUGGCGGGGAGGCUCACCCUGUCCACCUUCACGCUGGAGCAGCCUCUAGGCCAGUUCAGCAGCCACAACAUCUCUGACUUGGAUACCAUCUGGCUGGUGGUGGCCCUCAGCAACGCCACCCAGAGCUUCACGGCCCCACGGACAAACCAGGACAUCCCUGCUCCUGCCAACUUCUCCCAGAGGGGCUACUAUCUCACACUGAGGGCCAACCGGGUGCUGUACCAGGCCAGAGGCCAGCUCCAUGUCCUCCGUGUUGGCAAUGAUACCCACUGCCAACCAACAAAAAUUGGCUGCAACCAUCCCCUACCAGGACCGAGCCCCUACAGGGUGAAGUUCCUGGUGAUGAAUGACAAAGGACCCGUGGCUGAAACAAAGUGGUCCAGCAACACUCGCCUGCAGCAAGCCCAGGCACUUCGGGCUGUCCCUGGCCCCCAGAGCCCGGGCACCGUGGUCAUCAUCGCCAUCCUGUCUAUCCUCCUGGCCGUCGUCCUCACGGUCCUCCUGGCUGUGCU
ensembl:lncRNA POLR2J4 RNA polymerase II subunit J4 (pseudogene)